rnacentral:rRNA from 1 species
GGACUGAGAGGUUGGCCCGCCAUAUCGGGACUGAGACACUGCCCGGACCUCCACGGAGGGCUGCAGUAACGAAUAUUGCGCAAUGGCCGAAAGGCUGACGCAGCGACGCCGCGUGUAGGAAUAAGCCCCUCGGGGUGUAAACUACUGUCAGGGUGAAGAAAGGUGAUGGUUGUAAUACCUGAACUUGAUCGAUCCCAAAGGAAGGCCCGGCUAACUUCGUGCCAGCAGCCGCGGUAAUACGAAGGGGCCAAGCGUUGUUCGGAAUCAUUGGGCUUAAAGCGCGCGUAGGCGGAUAGUUAAGUGUCUUGUGAAAUCCCUCGGCUUAACCGAGGAACUGCAGGGCAUACUGGCUAUCUUGAGAUAAACAGGGGUGUAUGGAACUCUGGGUGGAGCGGUGAAAUGCGUAGAUAUCCAGAGGAACGCCAGCGGAGAAAUCGGUACACUGGGUUUAUUCUGACGCUGAGGUGCGAAAGCGUGGGUAGCGAACGGGAUUAGAUACCCCGGUAGUCCACGCCGUAAACGAUGUAUACUAGAUCGUGGGAGUUCUGACACUCUCGCGGUCGGAGCAAAAGUGUUAAGUAUACCGCCUGGGGAGUACGGUCGCAAGGCUAAAACUCAAAGGAAUUGACGGGGGCUCACACAAGCAGUGGAGCAUGUGGCUUAAUUCGAAACAACGCGAAGAACCUUAUCCUGGAUUUGACUAUUACGGAUGCCCUCGGUGAAAGUCGAGUAAGCUGCCUUCGGGUGAAACGUAAACAGGUGCUGCAUGGCUGUCGUCAGCUCGUGUCGUGAGAUGUCGGGUUAAGUCCCUUAACGAGCGAAACCCUUAUCGCUAGUUGCCAGCGAGUAAUGUCGGGGACUCUAGCGAGGCUGCCGGUGUUAAACCGGAGGAAGGUGGGGAUGACGUCAAGUCCUCAUGGCCUUUAUGUCCAGGGCUGCACACGUGCUACAAUGGCGUGGACAGACCGAAGCGAUACCGCGAGGUGGAGCAAAUCGGAAAAACUGCGCCCCAGUUCGGGUUGCAGGCUGCAACUCGCCUGCAUGAAGUCGGAAUUGCUAGUAAUCGCAGAUCAGCAUGCUGCGGUGAAUAUGUUCCUGAGCCUUGUACACACCGCCCGUCAAGUCAUGGAAGCUGGGAGUACCUGAAGUCGGGUAGUUAACUUUUAUUAGAGACGCCUGCCGAUGGUAAGCUCGGUGACUGGGGCUAAGUCGUAACAAGGUA